rnacentral:rRNA from 1 species
UAAUUCCCGUUGAUUCUGCGGGAGAUUGCUGCUAUUAGGAUUCGACUAAGCUAUGCAAGUCAGGGGUCUUCGGACACCGGCGAACGGCUCAGUAACACGUCGAUAAUCUACCUUUGGGUUCGGGAUAAGGUCGGGAAACUGACUCUAAAACCGGAUAAAAGAAAAAUACUGGAAUGUCUUUUCUUCGAAAAGCAAUGCCCAAAGAUGAGUUGGCGGCUGAUUAGGCAGUUGGUGAGGUAAAGGCUCACCAAACCUGAGAUCAGUAGGGGGAAUGAGAGUUCUAGCCCCGAGAAGGACACUGAGAUAAGGGUCCUAACCCCAAGGGGUGUAGCAAGCGCGAAACCUUUACAAUGCACGAAAGUGUGAUAAGGGAAUCCUAAGUGCUUGUCUUUUGGGCAAGCUUUUGUUAAGUGUAAAUAUCUUGACGAAUAAGUGGUGGGUAAGACUGGUGCCAGCCGCCGCGGUAACACCAGCGCCACGAGUGGUGAUCAUGUUUAUUGGGCCUAAAGCGUUCGUAGCCUGUUUGAUAACUCUUUUGUGAAAUUGUUGAUGUUAACUUAGCAGAUUGCAAAAGAAACUGUUAAACUUGAGACCGGGAGGAGAUAGAAGUACCUUAAGGGGAAUGGUAAAAUGUAGUAAUCCUUAAGGGACUGCCAGUGGCGUAGGCGUCUAUCUAGAACGGCUCUGACGGUGAGGAACGAAAGCUAGGGGCGCAAAUCGGAUUAGAUACCCGAGUAGUCCUAGCUGUAAACUCUGCGAGCUAUGUGUUGCAUGUUCCCCGAGAACAUGCAGUGCCGUAGUGAAGACGUAAAGCUCGCCGCCUGGGGAGUACGGUCGCAAGGCUGAAACUUAAAGAAAUUGGCGGGGGCUCACUACAAGGAGUGCGGCGUGCGGUUUAAUCUAAUUACACACAGAGAAUCUCACCAAGAGCGACGGCAAGAUGAAGGUCAGAUUAAAGGUUUUACCUGAUGAGCCGAGAGGUGGUGCAUGGCCGUCGUCAGCUCGUGCUGUGAAGUGUCCAGUUAAGUCUGGCAACGAGCAAGACCUACAUUUACAAUUGCUACCGAGUCUUCGGAUGAUCGGGCACAUUGUAAGGACUGCCUUGGAAACGAGGAGGAAGGUGUAGGCAACGAUAGGUCUGUAUGUCCCGAAUCUCUUGGGCUACACGCGCGCAACAAUGAUAGGAACAAUGGGAUACAACUCCGAAAGGAGAAGUCAAUCCUCGAAAUCCUACCUUAGUUCAGAUUGAGGUUUGUAACUUAGCCUCAUGACGAUGGAAUUCCUAGUAAUCGGACGUCAUCAGCGUCCGGUGAAUAUGUCAAUGAGCCUUGCACACACUGCCCAUCAAUCCACUCGAGCAGAGUUUAGAUGAGGUUUAAUUUUUUGAUUAACCCAAAUCUGGGCUCAGCAAGAUGGGGUAAGUUGUCACAAGGUAGCCGUAGGGGAACCUGCGGCUGGAUCACCUCCUU